AGCGAACGCUGGCGGCAUGCUUAACACAUGCAAGUCGCACGGUUGGGGGCAACCCUGGCAGUGGCGGACGGGUGAGUAACGCGUAGGUAUCUGUCCAUGGGUGGGGGAUAACCGAGGGAAACUUCGGCUAAUACCGCAUGAAACCUGAGGGUCAAAGGCGUGAGUCGCCUGUGGAGGAGCCUGCGUCCGAUUAGCUAGUUGGUGGGAUAAAGGCCUACCAAGGCUGCGAUCGGUAGCUGGUCUGAGAGGAUGAUCAGCCACACUGGGACUGAGACAC
rnacentral:rRNA from 1 species